rnacentral:rRNA from 1 species
AGAGUUUGAUCCUGGCUCAGAUUGAACGCUGGCGGCAUGCCUUACACAUGCAAGUCGAACGGCAGCGCGGACUUUGGUCUGGCGGCAAGUGGCGGACGGGUGAGUAAUACAUCGGAACGUACCCUGUUGUGGGGGAUAACUAGUCGAAAGAUUAGCUAAUACCGCAUACGACCUGAGGGUGAAAGCGGGGGACCGAAAGGCCUCGCGCAGCAGGAGCGGCCGAUGUCUGAUUAGCUAGUUGGUGGGGUAAAGGCCCACCAAGGCGACGAUCAGUAGCUGGUCUGAGAGGACGAUCAGCCACACUGGGACUGAGACACGGCCCAGACUCCUACUGGAGGCAGCAGUGGGGAAUUUUGGACAAUGGGGGCAACCCUGAUCCAGCAAUGCCGCGUGUGUGAAGAAGGCCUUCGGGUUGUAAAGCACUUUUGUCCGGAAAGAAAUUGCUCUGGCUAAUACCUGGGGUAGAUGACGGUACCGGAAGAAUAAGCACCGGCUAACUACGUGCCAGCAGCCGCGGUAAUACGUAGGGUGCGAGCGUUAAUCGGAAUUACUGGGCGUAAAGCGUGCGCAGGCGGUUUUGUAAGACAGACGUGAAAUCCCCGGGCUCAACCUGGGAAUUGCGCUUGUGACUGCAAGGCUAGAGUGCGUCAGAGGGGGGUAGAAUUCCACGUGUAGCAGUGAAAUGCAUAGAGAUGUGGAGGAAUACCGACGGCGAAGGCAGCCCCCUGGGAC